GACGAACCGUGCGAACGUUGUUCGGAUUCACUGGGCUUAAAGGGCGCGUAGGCGGGUGAUCAAGUCCGGGGUGAAAUCCUUCAGCUCAACUGGAGAAUAGCCUUGGAUACUGGUCGCCUCGAGGGAGGUAGGGGCGGGCGGAACUUCCGGUGGAGCGGUGAAAUGCGUAGAUAUCGGAAGGAACGCCGGUGGCGAAAGCGGCCCGCUGGACCUCUUCUGACGCCGAGGCGCGAAAGCCAGGGGAGCGAACGGG
rnacentral:rRNA from 1 species